rnacentral:tmRNA from 1 species
GGGGGUGAUCUGGUUUCGACUGGGGAGCAAAGUAGUAGUUGCAUGUGGAGGGUAUCGGUUGGCCUCCUAAAAAAACCGAUAAGCAUAUAAUUGCUGAAAAACAAACAUCAAACGUGAUCGCAGUUGACUUCUCUGCUGAGAAUGUCGACCUAGAGCGCGCGGCAGCAUAACUUAUAUUGCUGCUCGAUCUUUGCGGAAUUGGACCAAGGAGUUCGUCGAGAUCGUCAUUUAACUUGGUAUGGUCUUAAUCCUCGCUGCUUCUAGGGGAUUUUUUCCAAGAUUAAUAGGAGCGAACCUUUCCUAGUGGAGUACCCUGCAUAGGGAGAGGUUUAUUUACAGGGUAUUAAACAUGUAGACGCUAUUAUGGAGUUUGCUUAGGACGAGAGUUCGAUUCUCUCCACCUCCAACA